GAGCGCGCAUGCGCAGAGCGUCGUGGCGCGUGCCCUUCCUUUGGACUGUCGGUUCCACCUGCGGCAAGGUUUGGCUUAGGGCCUUUGGGACGUUUCGAGUGGCGCCGGGAGGCUGCCCUAUCAGCGGGCUGAUAGAUUAUAAUAAAGAGCUGCAAGCUUGGAAAGGAACCCCAUCCAGCGGUCCUAGAUCGGAAGCCGCAGUCCCGCGACCGGAUGGCAGUUUUAGCCAGUACCAGAAAUGCUCCCGGUGGAGUCUCAUUCUUGUUGCACAGACUGGAAUGCAAUGGUGUGAUCUCAGCUCACUGCAACCUCCACAGCAGCCUCCUGCCUCAGCCUCCUGAAUAGCUGGGAUUACAGGCACCCUUCACCAUGCCAGGCUAAGUUUUGUAUUUUUAGUACAGACGGAAGUUUCACCAUGUUAGCCAGGCUGUUCUUGAACUUGUAAUCUCAGGUGAUCCACCCACCUUGACCUCCCCUGUGCUGGAAUUACAGAUGUGAGCCACCAUGCCUGGCCCAUCCCUUUAAGAAAACAGGAUAAGUAAACAGUCCUAGCAAUCCCCAGCAAUAAAUGUUAUCUGUGUAAACAGACAACAAUAAGACAUCAGAUUUUUUCAGGGUUCAUUUCAUUUUGAAAGCAAUCAGAUGUAACCAGGGAUACUUCUAUUGAAAUUCUUCAAUUUAUAGACGACAAACCCUAACGUUAGCACACAACCAUUUUUACGUAGUUCCUACGACUGUCGUCUGCAAUUAAUUCAUACUCCAUCAUACCACAGAUGGGUAACUUCAAAAUAAGAGAUGAGUUGAUUUUCAAAUGUGAAAUCAGGUCAACAUUUUAAUCUAAACUCAAUGUAUUUAACACACACAUUUAAGAGGCCUACUACAUCAUGCAAUUUGAUUAGAACACCUUUGCCGUCCUAUGAAGAGAUUACAGGGCAGGGAUUACAUUAACCAACAAAAUCUUAACAAUUACAGUCUUAUAUCACUACAGGGUUUCAAAGUGAUCACUGCAAAAUCAGAUUUUAGAAAUGUCUUCCACAGUUACGAUUUUUGUCCUUCACUGUUCAAGUAAAACACUGUGUCAUCCAGUUGCAAAAUAUUAUUGACAACAUGUAUAUGUGUAUACGAACCACACUGCAAAUUAACAAAAGAAUUGUACCCAAAGUUUAAUGAAGAGACACUUCUAAUCUAAUCAUUUAAUCUUGUAAGUAAUAUCACUAUUCUCUACAUCUAUUUAUUUGCGGUGUUUUAGGAAAGAGCACAUUCGUACUUUCAAACAUGCCAAACAUGAUGAACUAGAAUAAAUGCGCUUGAAAAACCAUUAUGAAAGAGACUUGCCUGAAGUCAUUUCAUCUGACAAAAAUCGACUCAAAUAAAACAAAGGCUAAUUGUAAAAAAAUACAUAAUAUAAUAAUGCAUUCUAGAGAAUGUUAAGUUGAACUUCAUUUGCCGUUUUGUAGAACUCACCACUUCUGCAGAUAAGUAUUUUAAUUGGUCUGUUCUUUGGUGAAAACAGAGCUGUGAUUUCAUACUUAUGUCAAGGGAGCAGUUAGCAGGUGUGCCCCACAACGAAAAGAAAUCAGACAAUCUAAAGGACACUGGCUACUGGUUGCCCUUAUCCUCAGCACCAGGAAUGGAGAAAUCUUCAGCAAAACAAGCUCCUAACAUCAGAUAUUCUCUUUAUUUAAAGUUGUUCAACAUGACAGAAUGCCUGUUGCAUAACAUGGCUUUUUUUUUCUAAAACAAACAGCUUUUUGCUUUCUUCUACAAAAAGUGGUUUACUAAAUACAUAGUAGCUUAUACCAGUGGUGACAGUGCAAAGUCAAUUUCCUGGGCAUUUGAUGGCACUGACAUACCACUGUGAGAUAUUUGGAGCAAUACUAAAUGCACUUCCUGACUUGCAGUCAGCCCAGGUCUUUGGUUUUGGUGCAGUACUUAAAAAUUAAGGCAAAACUCCUCCCAAAAUAUAUUUCCCUCCAAGCCCUUAUUUGCUUGCUUACAAAAUAACUGUCAGCAAAAUGCUACCUUUUUUGAAAAGCCAGUUGAUUACCAAUAAUGUCAAUGCCAGUGGUUUGGGUGCUAAAGGUAUUCCGUAUUUCCAAGUACAUAUAGAUAUUUUCUAACCUGUUUAUUUCACUGAAACCAAAAGUUGAUUAAGAACAGUUGAUAUGAAAUGCUCGUUUAUCAAAAUGGUGUUUUCUUUCUCAUGGGAGCUUCAAUUCUUUUGCUAUUUAUUGUCAAGGUUUGUAUUAAAACCCUUUCUUUGUUACAAACAACUUCUCUUGAUAUGUAAGGAGUUCUGAGUAUAUACAGCUCAAGCGCUGGAUCUGUUGGGUUUUCUCUUCUGGGAUUGAAUAUGGCUUCAUUCUUGUAGGAGAUUAUUGCAGUCUGCCCUGAAGUGGACCGUCGCCUCAGUUCACUACAACAAGAAGUGAGUGUAACCUUCUGCCCCGGUAACUAUGACAUCCAUCCAGAUCCGCAUGGCUUCCGGCGAUGGAGCUACCAUGUAAUAGAUUCUGUCAUGAGUCUUGACGCUAAAGAUAAGAAAAUGAAAGGCUGAAUGAUUAUUCCAAGAUCACACAGCCCCUUGAGGAGUAUUGCCUGAUGCCACAUGCAGGGCUCCUGCACCAGCAUAUCACAGACCCCCGGCAUGAAAAGAUGAAGCUUACCCUGGAUUCA